ACGAACGCUGGCGGCGUGCUUAAAACAUGCAAGUCGAACGGAGUUUAUGAGUAGCUUGCUACGAUUAAACUUAGUGGCGGACGGGUGAGUAACACGUGAGCAACCUGCCUAUCACAGGGGAAUAACACUUAGAAAUAGGUGCUAAUACCGCAUAUGACCACAGACCGGCAUCGGUUAGAGGUGAAAGGAGUUAAAUCUGGUGAUAGAGGGGCUUGCGUAUCAUUAGCUUGUUGGUGAGGGUAACGGCCCACCAAGGCAACGAUGAUUAGCCGAUCUGAGAGGAUGACCGGCCACACUGGAACUGAGAUACGGUCCAGACUCCUACGGGAGGCAGCAGUUAGGAAUAUUGGGCAAUGGAGGAAACUCUGACCCAGCAACGCCGCGUGAAGGAUGAAGGUUCUCGGAUUGUAAACUUCUGAUCUGUGGAAAGAAACAAAUGACGGUACCACAGGAGAAAGCUCCGGCAAACUACGUGCCAGCAGCCGCGGUAAUACGUAGGGAGCAAGCGUUGUCCGGAAUAACUGGGCGUAAAGGGAGCGUAGGUGGCGAUUUAAGUGAAAUGUGAAAGCCCGGGGCUCAACUCCGGAAUGUCAUUUCAUACUGGAUUGCUUGAGUGCAGGAGGGGUAAGCGGAAUUCCUAGUGUAGCGGUUAAAUGCGUAGAUAUUAGGAAGAACACCAGAGGCGAAGGCGGUUAACUGGACUGUAACUGACACUGAGGCUCGAAAGCGUGGGGAGCAAACAGGAUUA
rnacentral:rRNA from 1 species